AGUCUAAUGAGGUGCAG
rnacentral:misc_RNA from 1 species